rnacentral:tRNA from 1 species
GGUGAGGUGCGAGAGCGGCUGAAUCGGCGGCACUGGAAAUGCCGUAUGCCCGCAAGGGUAUCGAGGGUUCGAAUCCCUCCCUCACCGCAA